GUGUGGAUUAGUUGUUGGUAGGGUUUGCUAUCCCUGUUACGACUACGAUUGUAGGGACAGUGUGAUUACGAGAAGUCGGGGAAUAGACGUUCAUGGUAGGUUCGAAUCAUUCUGUACCAGGAGGAAAAUAACAUAUUCCGAUCUAUCAGCACAUGAAAGACGUUUGAUAGCAGAGAACAUUCGGAAAGUUUAUAAGGCAGAAAAACCUGAAAGAAAGAGACUUCCUAAUCUUAAUAUUCUAACUUACCAGAUAUGUAAAAGACGUAACAUAAAGUUGAACGAGAAGCUUCUUAAUAUUCCGGUAAGCAAAGCUUCACACGACCGGUGUAAAAAAGUAUUCCAAACACUGGGCUGGGAAUACAUUGACCAGUCAUCGUCCCUGUAGGCAGUGAUGUAUACCUAACGCCCAACGGUAUAUAGUUCUGUGACGUGGGGGACUGGUAAAAAAAAAGAAUUUUAAUGCUUACUUAGCAUUAAAAUUGGAAUAGUAAUUUAAGGAUGAUAACAAUGAGAAGAAUUUCAACCGUUAUCGGGAUGAGUAGGCAGAACACUAGACACAUCCAUAUUAGUCUCCACAGUAUCCGGGUUCUAGUCAUUUACUUUAUCAUACUUUUUUACCGUUGUACUAACAUAUCCGAUUUGGGUGUGAGCAUUGAUAGUGAGAUCACCACCUUCUAUACCAAUUCCGAAACUGAACAUUUUCCUUUUCCGAUGGUUCUUGUCGUACUUCACUUCGUCUGUGGUCUCGCGUUUUUUGUGUAAAUAUCCCAUUUUUAUUUGUUCUUCUUUUUAUUUUUCGCUGACUUUGGUUUUUCUUCCUUCGCGGUCUUUGUUGACGGCCCCGCUUUACGUUCCUUACACGACGUAACGUACUUGAUGUUAGUUGUCUUGGAUUUAACAUAACCGAGAUUCAUUCCACCUCUACUAAGUUUUAUAUCGACGUUGACGGUUUUGUCCCUUUUUAAAUUUUCCUUAACUUUGAUGCUGUCGCUAUUUAUUCUUUUAUUAAUACGAAAAGAAAAUCCAUCUUGAAGUGAUAACCCCACCGAUAAACAUAGUGCCGAGAAGGUUAAUCAGGUUGUU